rnacentral:lncRNA from 1 species
CUAGGUGUAUUCUAUCCUUAGUUUUAGUUCAAUGUUUAUUUUAAUUUGGUUUUAUGUUUUCAAAGACAUGAGGAACUAAUUUCUUUAUAGUUGGAGGUGAAUUCGAAGCCAUGAUUAUAUGUUUAAUAUGAACUGAUUACGUCCAGUUAUUGUUUCUUGAGUCUUGAAUGUGAUUUGCUUAUUUGAGUUAUCAAAACUUAUUUGUAUGUAGACUGAGGGUCGACACUUAAUUUGCAUGCAUGAAUUUGAUGCUAGAGUAUAAGGGAGUUUCACCUAAUCGCUAUGAACUUAUAUUCACAAGUAGUGGAAGUCACUAGUCAUGAUUGUGUUAAGUGAAUCAUUGGCAGGAGUAUCAUGCUUUUCAUAGUUGCGAAUGCUUCGUCAAUGCUUAUGCUUUUCAAAGAACUUAAUAACCUUUUAUAUGUCUUUCUAUCAUGCUUUUCAUAGUUAGGAAACUUGAUAAGGAUAAUUUGGUUGCGAUGUGUAUUCGAUCCAAUUCAAUGAGUUAAGGAAAAUCUGAUGGUUAAUUUGUGCUAUCACGGUUAACUUGGGGUGUUGUCAUCCAUAGUCUAAAGGAAUAAUAACUGGAAAUUGGUUUGUAUGCAUAUGUCAUGUGUGGAGAAAGACCCUCUAACUAGCCUCACCCUUUUCAAUUCACCAAAUUCGUUUUUAUAAAGUGUUUUAUGCAAAAUUUAUGUUUUAAGUUUUAAAUUCGUCAAAAACAAUCCCCCGUUCAUUAAGUCUUGUUAGUUGAGUCAUAAUCUAUUUUCUUUUAAUCUUUUGAGUCAAGUUAAGUUUAGUAGAAAGCAAAGGAGUCUGCGUAACAUCUAU